UACGUAGGGGGCAAGCGUUGUCCGGAUUUAUUGGGCGUAAAGCGCACGCAGGCGGUCUCUUAAGUUUCGAGUGACAGGUGGUGGCUCAACUGCCACAGGCCUUGGAAAACUGGGAGACUUGAGGACUUCAGAGGGAUGCGGAAUUCCAGGUGGAGCGGUGAAAUGCGUAGAUAUCUGGAGGAACACCGGUGGCGAAGGCGGCAUCCUGGACUACUACUGACGCUGAGGAGCGAAAGCCAGGGGAGCAAACGGG
rnacentral:rRNA from 1 species